AUUUAAAUAGUUUAAUUAAAAUAUUGAUUUGUGGUGUCAAUGAUAUGAGUUUUUCAUUUUAGAUC
rnacentral:tRNA from 1 species